AUUCUGGGUGGGACUUCACCUCUGAUCACAACCCCUGGCCUCUCACGGAGGGAUUCUAGGUAGGUACUCCACCUCUGAACUUUACUCUAAGCAGCUUUGUUUUUUUCUGGGCGAAUUCCCAAGAGGUGUGGGGCCAGGGUCCCCAAGUUUUGAUCUCCGUGGCUCGGCUUAAGGUUGCCUGGAGAAGGAUCUAGAGUUAGUCCUGUACCAUUGACAGGUUGUCAGUCAUCAGGGACAUCUGCUUCAGUUUGCUUACUUUCCCAGUCACGCUGGGUCGCCAGGAGUCCCAACCUCCAGCAGACAGUUGGAACAAGCACAAGCCUGCCGUGCUGGGAGACUCCAUCUCUGAUUUCUCACCUUCUGUGGUUCCUCCUGUAAUUCAGCUCAGGCAGCUGCAGCUCCCCAGAGCCAUGCAGCCUUAGAACAAGGUUCGAGCUGGCUUUAGUGGCACAUACCUGUCAUCCUAACGGGAAGCUGAGUGAGGCAAGAGGAUUAUGAGUCCCAGGCAAAACAGAAAAACAGGCCUCAGGGGUGUCUAAUGAGGGCCAUUCAAAGAGGCCUCCUUGGUGUCAGUCAGGUGACUACUGAUGGUCUUUCCAGGUGUCAGGUGUCAGAGACCAGCUGCAUGGGAGGGGACAGCAGGCCACUUCUCUAACCCUCCUCCGUCCUCCCCUGCCUGUCAGUCCCUGCUCCACACUGCUGGUGAUUUAUUCUUAGUGGGGGCAGGGUAGGGAGGCAGGAUGGUGUGGGUCAGGACGGUGUGAGUAGGAGGGGGCUGGAAAAUGGGAGUCAGAAGAAAUGAAGGCAGACCAGGAAGGGAGACCUCAGAGGACCAGCCCAGGACAGGAAGUUAUCACACCCUGCUCCCCGCACUCACAUUCAGUUUCUUCUAAUGUUGAGGGGAGAGACCAGAGAUGACCUUUGGCUGUCCCCAGACCAUGCAGAUGGGGACCAGGUCCUGGACCUCUAGCUGCCAAAGGGGCGUCUGUGGGGCCGAGUGAGGCUGCACAUGUGACAGCCGGACAUUUGGAUCUUCACAACUGUGCUGGGGACUUGAAGGAGACUCGGCUCAGGGAAGGGACUGAGCACCCAGCACCCUGGGUUCUCCUAGCCAUCCCACUUUCCGUCCUUAAAUCCAUCUCCCAUGCUGCUCCUUGCCUGUCUUCUUCCAGUAAACUCCUACAACAUGCUUCAAUACCCCUUACUCCAUGGAUGUCUGGAUAUAACAGGGAUAUAAGUGCUGUGGCAUCAGUCAGAUUCCUGGCUUUCUCUCCAUUUGCUGUGUGACCUUAGGGAUGUGGUUAUUCUCUCUGAGCCUUGUCGUCAUUGUUGUCUUCCUCUUCUCCUCCUCCUUCUUCUUCGAUUUAUUUAUUUAUAAGCACACUGUAGCUAUCUUCAGACACGUGUCAGAUCUUGUUAUGGAUGGUUGUGAGCCACCGUGUGAUUGCUGGGAAUUGAACUCAGGACCUUCAGAAGAGCAGUCAGUGCUCUUAACCUCUGAGCCACCUCUCCAGCCUGAGCCUUGUCUUCUAAAAUAGCAAAAAUAAUUACCAUGCUUCCAUCAAGAGGCUCAAAUAACAACAGAUAAAUGAAGCUUCAUGCACAUUAAGUAGGCUGGGGGGGGGGGCACAAUGGCACAAAUGAGGACCCGGGGCCAAGGGUACUUACUCGGCAGCACUGAGGAGGGGCGAUGGUGAUCUCCCACAAAGCUAACUUGCUGUGACCACAGGAUCCCAUUGUCAUAUUCUUAGUAUUUACCCAAAGAAAAUAAAAACUUGUGUCCAUGCU
rnacentral:lncRNA from 1 species